AUGGAAAAAAUGAUUCCUUUGGAGGCAGGCAGAAAUAUUUGCUGCUUUGCGAAAGAGCUCGGCGAGGAGAGGAGCUUAAUUCGAUCCUUACGCCACGCCAGCGCUUUAAUUCCGUGCAGGCUGCGGGCAGGAAGGGCCUGCUCGGGGCUGGGAGGGAGGAAGGGAAGAUGCUCGGGUGGAUUUAUCGCUCUUGGCAGCAGCCAGGCUGAGCCCAGGCUCCCUAAAAUCACUUGGGACGGGCUGUUGGGCUCCCCGGCCCUCUUACCUGCCGGGAUUCCCUCCGGGGUGGAAAGGGGCCGAUGGACGAGCCGAGCUCUGCCUCCCAGCACCACCUUCCAGCUUCCUUCAAGUCUUUUCUUUUCUUUUUUUCCUCCCCAAAAGCCCUUCCCCAGCUGGGAAGCCGCUAGGUCCGAGAGGCCGGAGCGAGAAGAGCCUCGUGUAGGGUCUGGGUGCUCGGCGACACCCUCCAGAUGGGGCUGACGGUGUCCUGUCCCCAACAGGGACCACGCUGAGGUCCUCUUCUGAAAGCAUUGAAGGGGGUGAGAUCAGCAGUGCUGAUCCAUCCUGCUUCUGCACCUUUUUUUUGGAGCAGGAUGACCUCUUCUCCAGAGCCAGCAGCUCCUUCUCCAUCCGUGCAGCGCCCGUGCCAGGUAGUGAGUGGGGAGCCAAGGUUUGGGGGAUCUGUUUCCACCGCUGCCCUUGGCGCAGCGGCAAGCCCUGGCCACCCCUGGGUGUUAUGCAACCUCGUGGCAUUAAAACACGUACGUCAGAGGCUUUAAUUAGCAGAGGGAAAGCGUUUCGGGGACGCUGCUGGCAGGUGCUGUGCUGCUGGGUCUCCCUCCCCAGGGCUGGGGAAGGACAAGGUGUUGCUGUGCCCCUCCAGCACCCAGCGGCUGGAGCAGAUGGCCAAAGGGCCACGUCCCCAUGUGUUCCUGGGGGUCGUAGGGACCUUUAUUCCUGUUCUUUUUUUCUCCUGCUCCCCUGAUGUGGGCAGCUGGUUGCAGCUAGAAGCUCUCCUGGGCUGGACUUAGCACACAAAGCCAACAGUGGGGUGGAGACGGGGCCAACAGCACCCACCUGAAGUUCAGCAGAUACCCAGGACAGGAUGGCUCAGCACCCAGCUGGGGGCAGCUCUGCAGAGCAGGACUUGGGACCACCACAAGACCACAUCUGGAAGCCGGGUCCCAUUUGAGAUUGCCUCAUUCGGACUGGCUCAGGUUUUACGCUUCCUCACCAGGAGGAACGUUUCCUCACCGCUGUCCCUCAGGCAGCACAUUUUUGGCACGGGUGGGCUUCCACUUCGACCAAUUCCAGCGGGAAGAACAAAACUGCUGGUGCAUUAUCGUGUCCUCAAUUUACCUGCCUGGGGAGACCGAGCUCAGCUAUGGGGCAGGGUCACCCUUGGGAUCCUGCACACACAGCCCUGUGCACCCCAAAAUGCCCCCUGUGGCUCUGGUGCAUCCCGGUGGAGCAUUUUUUGGCCACCUCGUGUUUCCAAAGCUGGAUCUCGGUGAUUUCCAGCGUGCAGCAAGUGACCUAGGACAUUGCCAUCCUCUAGUGGCUGCAUCCAGAAGCACAGCAGCGGCGAUGUCUCCGGAGUUAAAACUUUAGAAACCUGUAUUUAAAACCACUGGUGGUGUUUGGCUCGGGUCCAUGUCGAUCGGACAAAUGGGGCUGCUGCAUGACCUGCAGCGUUUCCCCAUCACCACGUGCACCCUGCAGAGAGACCCCCUGCUUCCCUUGGGUGCUGAUGGCCAGAAAAAAACGGGAAUUGGGCAAAAAAAAGGAUGGAAACAGCAUGCCUCCCUGCUGGCUCCUGCCACUUCAUCUGCUGGCUCCCUGGUGGCAGAUGUGCGUGGUCAGGUUUGGUUUCGGGACGCUGACCCUAUUUCUCUAUCAGUCUCCUGGCCAGCAGUACAAAGGUUGGGAAUGACAGCCAGUUUUUGAAGUUUGGUGCAGAUUUGGAAUAUAGCUUGAAAAAGUCGUGGAAUUCCUACCUCUUGGAUCCUGCUCCAUGAAAGGGUAGCUUAGGAACCAAACCAAUGAAAUUGAUUAAUAGAAAAAUUAUUGAAAGAAACUAAUUAAGGACAAUACAGCAGGGAUACAGACGAUGUUGGCUGUUGAAUGGGAUCUCUGCUGCUUUUCCUUACUGCCUGGAAAAGAAAAGAAAAGAAAAGAAAAGAAAAGAAAAGAAAAGAAAAGAAAAGAAAAGAAAAGAAAAGAAAAGAAAAGAAAAGAAAAGAAAAGAAAA
ensembl:lncRNA